rnacentral:rRNA from 1 species
CCUACGGGCGGCAGCAGUGGGGAAUAUUGCACAAUGGGGGAAACCCUGAUGCAGCGACGCCGCGUGAGUGAAGAAGUAAUUCGUUAUGUAAAGCUCUAUCAGCAGGGAAGAAAAUGACGGUACCUGAGUCAGAAGCCCCGGCUAACUACGUGCCAGCAGCCGCGGUAAUACGUAGGGGGCAAGCGUUAUCUGGAUUUACUGGGUGUAAAGGGAGCGUAGACGGCAGUGCAAGUCUGGAGUGAAAGGCGGGGGCUCAACCCCCGGACUGCUCUGGAAACUGUACAGCUAGAGUGCAGGAGAGGUAAGUGGAAUUCCUAGUGUAGCGGUGAAAUGCGUAGAUAUGAGGAGGAACACCAGUGGCGAAGGCGGCUUACUGGACUGUAACUGACGUUGAGGCGCGAAAGCGUGGGGAGCAAACAGGAUUAGAUACCCCUGUAGUC